AUUGAACGCUGGCGGCAGGCCUAACACAUGCAAGUCGAACGAGGGGCGGACGGGUGAGUAAUGUCUGGGAAACUGCCAUAUGGAGGGGGAUAACUACUGGAAACGGUGGCUAAUACCGCAUACCAGCGGAUGAGCCCUGAUGGGAUUAGCUAGUAGGUGGGGUAAAGGCUCACCUAGGCGACGAUCCCUAGCUGGUCUGAGAGGAUGACCGGCCACACUGGAACUGAGACACGGUCCAGACUCCUACGGGAGGCAGCAGUGGGGAAUAUUGCACAAUGGGCGAAAGCCUGAUGCAGCCAUGCCGCGUGUGUGAAGAAGGCCUUCGGGUUGUAAAGCACUUUCAGCGGGGAGGCGUUACUCGCAGAAGAAGCACCGGCUAACUCCGUGCCAGCAGCCGCGGUAAUAC
rnacentral:rRNA from 1 species